rnacentral:rRNA from 1 species
CCUGGCUCAGAUUGAACGCUGGCGGCAGGCCUAACACAUGCAAGUCGAGCGGAAACGAGUUAUCUGAACCUUCGGGGAACGAUAACGGCGUCGAGCGGCGGACGGGUGAGUAAUGCCUAGGAAAUUGCCCUGAUGUGGGGGAUAACCAUUGGAAACGAUGGCUAAUACCGCAUGAUGCCUACGGGCCAAAGAGGGGGACCUUCGGGCCUCUCGCGUCAGGAUAUGCCUAGGUGGGAUUAGCUAGUUGGUGAGGUAAGGGCUCACCAAGGCGACGAUCCCUAGCUGGUCUGAGAGGAUGAUCAGCCACACUGGAACUGAGACACGGUCCAGACUCCUACGGGAGGCAGCAGUGGGGAAUAUUGCACAAUGGGCGCAAGCCUGAUGCAGCCAUGCCGCGUGUAUGAAGAAGGCCUUCGGGUUGUAAAGUACUUUCAGUCGUGAGGAAGGUGGUAGUGUUAAUAGCACUAUCAUUUGACGUUAGCGACAGAAGAAGCACCGGCUAACUCCGUGCCAGCAGCCGCGGUAAUACGGAGGGUGCGAGCGUUAAUCGGAAUUACUGGGCGUAAAGCGCAUGCAGGUGGUUUGUUAAGUCAGAUGUGAAAGCCCGGGGCUCAACCUCGGAAUAGCAUUUGAAACUGGCAGACUAGAGUACUGUAGAGGGGGGUAGAAUUUCAGGUGUAGCGGUGAAAUGCGUAGAGAUCUGAAGGAAUACCGGUGGCGAAUGCGGCCCCCUGGACAGAUACUGACACUCAGAUGCGAAAGCGUGGGGAGCAAACAGGAUUAGAU